rnacentral:ncRNA from 1 species
UGAAAGGCGAUGACGGAGAAAAGUACGCCGCGCCUCUUUUUUUUAGGAAGAAAAUGCCUUGACUGAAAGCAUUUUUAAAAAGAGACGGCAGAAGUUCACCUCCUGAGCCGGUGCCAGGACCGUUAGACGUAAAGGCACACCGGUUUUAAAAAGCCGUUAUCCGAAUGAAGUGAAUGCGUAUAUUUAUGCGUAUUAAAAAGGGUGGUACCGCGAUCAAAGCCUCGUCCCUUUC